CUAGGUACGUAUUUCAGGAUUUUUAAUAGUACUUAAAUCACACGCAACCCUUUAAAUUAGGGGAUGGAAGGUUGUCAUAAGCAACUUAUAAAAAGAAGUGAAAUCCCACCAAACAUUUUUUAAUGUAAAAUGUUGCCAAGACGAAAUCAUAAGGCUCGCACUGACAAAAAGUUAUCAGAUCUCUUGUAGAGCCAAGCUUCUAACUCUACAAGCCCUAACUUCACAAACUCUACACCUUAGUCAAAAUAUGUGGCUUGGCCGUUUCGUUACUCUAAGAACUAUUGUAUUAUAAAAAAAUAUGAAUAGUGAAUACAUUUUUCACCUUACGUCCAUGUGACAGUGUAGAGUUUGUGAAGUUAGGGCUUGUAGAGUUAGAAGCUUGGCUCUACAAGAGAUCUGAUAACUUUAUGUCAGUGCGAGCUUUAUGGUUUCGUCUUGGCAACAUUUUACAU